AGAUUGAACGCUGGCGGCGUGCCUAACACAUGCAAGUCGAACGGGAGUAGCAAUACUCUAGUGGCGGACGGGUGAGGAAUACGUAGGAAUUUGCCCUUAAGUGGGGGAUAACCCGGGGAAACCCGGAUUAAUACCGCAUGACCUCGAAAGAGCAAAGUGGGGGAUCGCAAGACCUCACGCUUUUGGAGAAGCCUACGUCGGAUUAGCUAGUUGGUGAGGUAAUGGCUCACCAAGGCGACGAUCCGUAACUGGUCUGAGAGGAUGAUCAGUCACACCGGAACUGAGACACGGUCCGGACUCCUACGGGAGGCAGCAGUGGGGAAUAGUUGGACAAUGGGCGCAAGCCUGACUCCAGCAAGUCGCCGCGUGUGUAGAAGAAGGCCUUGGUUAGUAAAGACUAACGUUUAAGGUUAGGGAAAGUAAAAAACCGUACG
rnacentral:rRNA from 1 species